AUGUUUUCCCUUGGUUCAGACCCCUCUGAGACACACAACACCAGACAUGAAUAAAGUUUAACAGUUUUAUUGUAGAGGGCCGGCAGCCACACACACACUUAGAAGCACACAGUCCCUGGGCAAAAUAUAGUACAUAGUUUAGGCCCAGCCCAUCCUAUGUAACCCACCCCAAUCACACAGGGUAAAGAGGCUAACUAAUAGCCAGUCAGGCACCACAAAGGGGGGAGGAGGAGUACAACUUAAUUGCAGAGAGGCCACUUAGAAAUAAGACAUGCAAUACAUUAGAAACAAAACUCCCCACAGCAAAGCCCCCAAUAUCAUUCCCAGCUAGGCAAAACACUGGUGUUACAAUUCACACGUGAAAUAUACAUAAGCAAUGUCCGUGCACAGAUGGCUCACACACACCCACAGCAAGCUACACCACUGUUACAGUUCGCUCCCACGCUACACUAAACAGCCCCUCGUCACGUUAGGCUGCACUUACCUCCCCAGCAAGUGGAAACCAAUAAGAGGGGCUCACCCAGUUCAUGCCUGCCCCGCUAAGCGGGUGCGCUGCCGGUGAUGAAGGAAAACACUUUUGGUCGGCGGCAUCCCCCACGCCGACCAAAACACAGCAAAACACCCAAACCCCACGAGCUCAAUAAGUCCAGGAGCAAGCGAAACAGCGGUUCAUCGUUGCAGGAUGAAGGAGGGAAGAUCACGCCACCGUCGCACUUCCACACACCCUGGCUGGUGACAGUCUGCGUCUCUCUCUCGCACUCUUCCUCCCGAUGCCGCUUCUGCUUCUCCUCUGACGGUAGCUCUGGACAGAAAGCACACUUACAAACCGGCAGGCUAGAAGCUGACCCAUUCACACAGAGUAUCCACUCGAAUCAGUACAAGCACUUCCCUUUAGCUGGCAUGCUGGCAUGCUAACAUGCUUCUCUCCCCUCACGCCGGCUGGCUGGCGAUUGUUGUUGUCCGGCGUGUCGCUGCUGGAUCCCGUCAUCACUCCAGCGUCACCUGGGAAAUCUCUCUCGUUCCUUUCAGUUACCCUGUAUAAAAGGGAUUCCUCCGUCCAGUGUCCAAUCAUGUAAUCAAUACUCCGUGGCCAUUAGUCCAUUAGUCCACAAUUAUUGCCACAACGUUCUCCCCCUGCAU
rnacentral:lncRNA from 1 species